rnacentral:rRNA from 1 species
GACGAACGCUGGCGGCGUGCCUAAUACAUGCAAGUCGAGCGAAGUUUUUCUGGUGCUUGCACUAGAAAAACUUAGCGGCGAACGGGUGAGUAACACGUAAAGAACCUGCCUCAUAGACUGGGACAACUAUUGGAAACGAUAGCUAAUACCGGAUAACAGUAUUUCUCGCAUGAGAGAUAUUUAAAAGUUGGUUAUGCUAACACUAUGAGAUGGCUUUGCGGUGCAUUAGCUAGUUGGUGGGGUAAAGGCCCACCAAGGCGACGAUGCAUAGCCGACCUGAGAGGUGGAUCGGCCACACUGGGAAUGAGACACGGCCCAGACUCCUACGGGAGGCAGCAGUAGGGAAUCUUCCGCAAUGGGCGAAAGCCUGACGGAGCAACGCCGCGUGAGUGAAGAAGGAUUUCGGUUCGUAAAGCUCUGUUGUUAGGGAAGAAUGGAUAUGUAGUAACUAUACAUGUAAGAGACGGUACCUAACCAGAAAGCCACGGCUAACUACGUG